rnacentral:rRNA from 1 species
UACGUAGGGAGCAAGCGUUGUCCGGAAUUACUGGGCGUAAAGGGUGCGUAGGCGGUUUGUUAAGUCAGAUGUGAAAUACCCGGGCUCAACCUGGGGGGUGCAUCUGAAACUGGCAGACUUGAGUGCAGGAGAGGAAAGUGGAAUUCCUAGUGUAGCGGUGAAAUGCGUAGAGAUUAGGAAGAACACCAGUGGCGAAGGCGACUUUCUGGACUGUAACUGACGCUGAGGCUCGAAAGCGUGGGGAGCAAAC